rnacentral:rRNA from 1 species
GUAGGUGGCAAGCGUUGUCCGGAAUUAUUGGGCGUAAAGCGCGCGCAGGCGGUUCUUUAAGUCUGACGUGAAAGCCCACGGGCUCAACCGUGGAGGGUCAUUGGAAACUGGAGAACUUGAGUACAGAAGAGGAAAGCGGAAUUCCACGUGUAGCGGUGAAAUGCGUAGAGAUGUGGAGGAACACCAGUGGCGAAGGCGGCGUUUCUGGUCUGUAACUGACGCUGAGGCGCGAAAGCGUGGGGAGCAAACAGGAUUAGAUACCCUGGUAGUCCACGCCGUAAACGAUGAGUGCUAAGUGUUAGGGGGUUUCCGCCCCUUAGUGCUGCAGCUAACGCAUUAAGCACUCCGCCUGGGGAGUACGGCCGCAAAGGCUGA